rnacentral:misc_RNA from 1 species
UGGUUCUGGCAUCGAUGAAGAACGCAGCGAAAUGCGAUAAGUAAUGUGAAUUGCAGAAUUCCGUGAAUCAUCGAAUCUUUGAACGCACAUUGCGCCCGCCAGUAUUCUGGCGGGCAUGCCUGUUCGAGCGUCAUUUCAACCCUCGAGCCCCUUUGGGGGCUUGGUGUUGGGGCUCGGCACGUCCCUAGCGGCGCGCCGUCCCCGAAAUCUAGUGGCGGUCUCGCGGCAGCCUCCUUUGCGCAGUAGUAUUACCUCGCACUGGAACGUCGCUUGGCCACGCCGUUAAACCCCCCACUUCUGAAAGGUUGACCUCGGAUCAGGUAGGAAUACCCGCUGA